rnacentral:rRNA from 2 species
UACGGAGGGUGCGAGCGUUGUCCGGAAUCACUGGGCGUAAAGGGCGCGUAGGCGGCUUCUUAAGCGUGCGGUGAAAGCCCGGGGCUCAACCCCGGGUCGGCCGUGCGAACUGGGGGGCUGGAGCACUGUAGAGGCAGAUGGAAUUCCGGGUGUAGCGGUGGAAUGCGUAGAGAUCCGGAAGAACACCGGUGGCGAAGGCGGUCUGCUGGGCAGUGGCUGACGCUGAUGCGCGACAGCGUGGGGAGCAAACAGG